rnacentral:rRNA from 1 species
CUCAUUAAAUCAGUUAUCGUUUAUUUGAUAGUACCUUACUACUUGGAUACCCGUGGUAAUUCUAGAGCUAAUACAUGCAAAAAACCCCGACUUCGGGAGGGGUGUAUUUAUUAGAUAAAAAACCAAUGCCCUUCGGGGCUCUUUGGUGAUUCAUGAUAACUUAACGGAUCGCAUGGCCUUGCGCCGGCGACGGUUCAUUCAAAUUUCUGCCCUAUCAACUUUCGAUGGUAAGGUAUUGGCUUACCAUGGUUUCAACGGGUAACGGAUUUUUAGGGAAAGAUCCCGGAGAGGGAGCCUGAGAAACGGCUACCACAUCCAAGGAAGGCAGCAGGCGCGCAAAUUACCCAAUCCCGACACGGGGAGGUAGUGACAAUAAAUACUGAUACAGGGCUCUUUUGGGUCUUGUAAUCGGAAUGAGUACAAUUUAAAUACCUUAACGAGGAACAAUUGGAGGGCAAGUCUGGUGCCAGCAGCCGCGGUAAUUCCAGCUCCAAUAGCGUAUAUUAAAGUUGUUGCAGUUAAAAAGCUCGUAGUUGAACCUUGGGCCUGGCUGGCCGGUCCGCCUCACCGCGUGUACUGGUCCGGCCGGGCCUUUCCUUCUGGAGAACCGCAUGCCCUUCACUGGGUGUGUCGGGGAACCAGGACUUUUACUUUGAGAAAAUUAGAGUGUUCAAAGCAGGCCUUUGCUCGAAUACGUUAGCAUGGAAUAAUAGAAUAGGACGUGCGGUCCUAUUUUGUUGGUUUCUAGAACCGCCGUAAUGAUUAAUAGGGAUAGUCGGGGGCGUCAGUAUUCAAUUGUCAGAGGUGAAAUUCUUGGAUCUAUUGAAGACUAACUACUGCGAAAGCAUUCGCCAAGGAUGUUUUCAUUAAUCAGUGAACGAAAGUUAGGGGAUCGAAGACGAUCAGAUACCGUCGUAGUCUUAACCGUAAACUAUGCCGACUAGGGAUCGGGCGAUGUUUCUAUAUUGACUCGCUCGGCAC